CGGAGUCUAGCAUGUGCGCGAGUCAUUGGGAAAAACCUAAAGGCGCAAUGAAAGUGAAGGUCCGCCUUGCGCGGCCGAGGGAGGAUGGGGGCCCGCCCCGCACUCCCGGGGCGUCUCGUUCUCAUUGCGAGAAGAGGCGCACCAAGAGCGUACACGCUGGGACCCGAAAGAUGGUGAACUAUGCCUGGUCAGGACGAAGUCAGGGGAAACCCUGAUGGAGGUCCGUAGCGAUUCUGACGUGCAAAUCGAUCGUCGGAACUGGGUAUAGGGGCGAAAGACUAAUCGAACCAUCUAGUAGCUGGUUCCCUCCGAAGUUUCCCUCAGGAUAGCUGGCGCUCGUCGCCUACGAGUCUCAUCCGGUAAAGCGAAUGAUUAGAGGCAUUGGGGUCGAAACGGCCUCAACCUAUUCUCAAACUUUAAAUGGGUGAGAUCUCCGGCUUGCUCGACACGGAUCAGAGUGCCAAGUGGGCCAUUUUUGGUAAGCAGAACUGGCGCUGUGGGAUGAACCAAACGCCGAGUUAAAGCGCCUAAAUCGACGCUUAUGGGAUACCAUGAAAGGCGUUGGUAACUUAAGACAGCAGGACGGUGGCCAUGGAAGUC
rnacentral:rRNA from 1 species